rnacentral:rRNA from 1 species
UACGAAGGGGGCUAGCGUUGCUCGGAAUCACUGGGCGUAAAGGGUGCGUAGGCGGGUCUUUUAAGUCAGGGGUGAAAUCCUGGAGCUCAACUCCAGAACUGCCUUGAUACUGAAGAUCUUGAGUUCGGGAGAGGUGAGUGGAACUGCGAGUGUAGAGGUGAAAUUCGUAGAUAUUCGCAAGAACACCAGUGGCGGAAGGCGGCUCACUGGCCCGAUACUGACGCUGAGGCACGAAAGCGUGGGGAGCAAACAGGGAUUAAGAUGACC